rnacentral:rRNA from 1 species
GAUGAACGCUGGCGGCGUGCCUAAUACAUGCAAGUCGAGCGAACAGACGAGGAGCUUGCUCCUCUGACGUUAGCGGCGGACGGGUGAGUAACACGUGGAUAACCUACCUAUAAGACUGGGAGAACUUCGGGAAACCGGAGCUAAUACCGGAUAAUAUAUUGAACCGCAUGGUUCAAUAGUGAGAGACGGUUUUGCUGUCACUUAUAGAUGGAUCCGCGCCGCAUUAGCUAGUUGGUAAGGUAACGGCUUACCAAGGCAACGAUGCGUAGCCGACCUGAGAGGGUGAUCGGCCACACUGGAACUGAGACACGGUCCAGACUCCUACGGGAGGCAGCAGUAGGGAAUCUUCCGCAAUGGGCGAAAGCCUGACGGAGCAACGCCGCGUGAGUGAUGAAGGUCUUCGGAUCGUAAAACUCUGUUAUUAGGGAAGAACAAAUGUGUAAGUAACUAUGCACGUCUUGACGGUACCUACUCAGAAAGCCACGGCUAACUACGUG